AGCUUUGCGCAGUUGGUAGUAUUAUAGCCAAUGAGGUUAAUCUGAAGCACAAUUAUUGCUAAUUGAAAUUUUUUCCCAAUACCCUGCCAUGAUGGCUUGACAACUGGAAAUAUAGUCGGCAUUGGCAAUUAGAUCACUGUACAAGGA